GCCCUCAUGGCGGAAUGGUAGACGCGCUAGCUUCAGGAGCUAGUAGUCGCAAGGCUGUAGAGGUUCAAAUCCUCUUGAGGGCA
rnacentral:tRNA from 1 species